rnacentral:lncRNA from 1 species
UGCUCCCGGGCCUGGUGAGGGUAAUCUUGGUGCUCUGAUCCGUGUAUGUCUGGAUGGAGUUGCUGGCCGAGCAGGCUUUGUAGUCAGCUUCUCCAACCUCGGCCAGAGUGUGAAGACCAUUGUACUGGAAGACUGACAAAAAUUGUGCUAGUAUCCUUUCUGGCUACUGCCUGUACACAUCAAAGGAUUCAUUGGCAAACGUAUGCUCGUUUUACUGGCCAACCUACGUUAGAUUUCACAUGAUACUUCAUAUUUUACAUUGAAUGAUGCUUACAGAGAGUUUCGUCGACGUUGAAGGUUUUGCCGGAAGCCCAUGCGGUGUAGUCCACCCCACUUACCCAUCCUUGCAAGUCGCCCACUGUGUAGUCGGUGGCGGAGGCGGCCGGAGCAGCUGCUACAAGGAGGACCAGAAGAGCUAC